rnacentral:rRNA from 1 species
UGGGGAAUUUUGCACAAUGGGGGAAACCCUGAUGCAGCGACGCCGCGUGAUUUAGAAGGCCUUCGGGUUGUAAAAAUCUUUUCUAUGGGAAGAAAAUGACAGUACCAUAGGAAUAAGGACCGGCUAAUUACGUGCCAGCAGCCGCGGUAAUACGUAAGGUCCGAGCGUUGUCCGGAAUCAUUGGGCGUAAAGGGUACGUAGGCGGUUAGAUAAGUCUGAAGUUAAAGGCAGUGGCUCAACCAUUGUAGGCUUUGGAAACUGUUUAACUUGAGUGCAGAAGGGGAGAGUGGAAUUCCAUGUGUAGCGGUGAAAUGCGUAGAUAUAUGGAGGAACACCGGUGGCGAAAGCGGCUCUCUGGUCUGUAACUGACGCUGAGGCUCGAAAGCGUGGGGAGCGAACAGG